rnacentral:ncRNA from 1 species
CCCUGUCGCUAGGGGUGCCCCCGUCAAGGGGCUGAGACGGCCGUGAAGCGGCCAACCCUCGGAACCUGAACCGGUUAAUACCGGCGGAGGGAAGCGGCGGGCGCCCCAC